GCAGGAGUACCCGAACUCGCGGGUAUCCGACCCGCCCAACCCGAUCGGAGCGGGUUUAAACCCGACCCGGAGCGGGGCGGGUUUAUGUCGGGGCGGGUAGUUGAGCGGGCCGGGCCGGGUUCGGGGUCAGGAUAAACCCGCCCCUAUCCGCCCCGGAGUGCAUAUAUAUAUUUAGGGAUUAGGUUUUUCUCUCUGUGCCUCCAUCAGCUUCAGACACCAUCUGGCCAUAGUCCUCUUCUCCAUUGCUCAGUCCCUCACCCCCUUGCCGUCGCUGCUCAGCCUUUCAUUCCCUCGCCGUCGUUGCCCACUACUCGCUGUCGUUGCCCACUCCUUGCUGUCACCGCAGCUCCUCGUCGUCACCACUCAGCCCGCAGCUACUCGCCGUCGCCGCUCAGCGCACAGUUCCUCGCCAUCGCCGCUUAGCCCGCAGCUCCAGCCUGCCGUCGCUGCUCAGUUUUUAGCUCCGUAAGACCAUUCAUCUCUUGGUUGCCGUCGCUGUGAGCUUGGCCAUCGCCAUUACAUGUGAGCCUGUCACCAGAGCCCCUUCUCUUUGUCUCUCUGAGUCUGUGACUUUUUCAAAGUGCUUCCAACUUUUACAUUAGUAAAGAUUCAAGAAUUGAAGAAUCUUGAAGAGGAAGCUAAGAGGAACCAAUCCUUGAAAUCUCUCUUGCUAUCUCCUUCUGGUGACUUUGUGAUUUCUUAUUAUGGAAAUAAAGCAAGCUACUAAUUAAUUAACUUGUAAACUAAAACAUAUCUAGCAGUUUCCAAAUGUGAUUGUGUGUAUAUUUAUUCAUUCAUUCAGAUAGCUGUUUUUGAAUUCAAGAGCAAGAUGGUUGGGCUUUAUUUCUCAUUGAGUUCAUAUGAAAGAUGCACUGACUUUACUUUCGGUCUGAUAGAGUUUAUGACAAGUUAAGGUCAGAUGAGGAGAGCUUUAAGAUUGUGAUGAUACCUCUUGAUGAGUAAGAAGAAUUCUUUAAGAAAGGAUUGAAAAGUAUGCCUUGAUUGUCAUUGUCUUUUGAGGACAAGAACGGUGAAAAAUGAUCAAAAAUAAAGAUCGAAUACUCUUUUAUAUUAAUGUUGUAAUUUUUUUUAUAAUGGUGUUAAAUUUAUAGUAAUCAAACAUUAGCUUUUUUUAAUUUUAAGUUAUUGACAUUAUAUAAAUCUUAUGUUUGUAUUUUAAUUUAUGCAUGAAUUUUAAGUUUUUGUCUUAAUUUAUAUAUGAAUAUGUAAAAAUUAAAAUGUUAUUUAAUUUUUACAGGGGCGGGACGGGUACCCGCAGGG